GAUGAACGCUAGCUACAGGCUUAACACAUGCAAGUCGAGGGGCAUCAGGAAGAAAGCUUGCUUUCUUUGCUGGCGACCGGCGCACGGGUGAGUAACACGUAUCCAACCUUGCCCGUUUACUCGGGGAUAGCCUUUCGAAAGUAACGAUUAAUACCCCGAUGGCAUAAUGAUUCCGCUAUGGUUUACAUUAUUAAAGGAUUCCGGUAAAGGAUGGGGAUUGCGUUCCAUUAGGUUGUUGGUGAGGUAACGGCCCACCAAGCCUUCG
rnacentral:rRNA from 1 species